UGAAAAUAUUGAUUAGAUUACUAAUUAUAAUAAAAUAUUUGUCAAUUUAUUUAUUUUUCACUGCAAGUAAUACAUAAAAAAAACUUGUUAUGGUUCUUUGGUGCUACGAUUUUUUCAGCUUUAGUAAACACUAAUGUGGAAACAAAGCAUUUUGAUUUUACUUCAAUACUUAAAUCUCGCAUAUGUAUUUUGUGAUGGAACGUAUGAAUGUGGAGACCACGGAAGAUUUGAAUACUGUAUUGACGAAAUUCCUGGCUGUGUAAUCGGUUGCCACUGCCAUCCAGGAUACUACUUUGAUAGCGAUACUAAAAUAUGUGAACCUAACUCUAAGUUAAUUGAGCAUCAUAGGCGUCAUUACGUAGUCGAACCUACUCGAAGCCAUAUUAUGACUCCGAGUCAAAACUUCGUAACAAGCCCGGUUGCUACUACAAGUAAAAUUGACGGCGCAAUUGAUGAAAUAAGCAAAGACACUGAAGAUUUAGGGGACUGGAUUUAUAACCAGUUCUUCAAAACAAUAGAGAAUCAAGUUAUAAAUAGCACAAAUAAUCAAAAUACGUUGACAAGGCGAAGUGCUUCAGCAAAAUCAUUAAAAGCACCAAAAAGAAGAAAAAAGACAAAAAAACGUAGAAAAAGCAAACACAAAGUAAAGAAACAAAAACUUUCGGCGAUAAUACAAAAUGACAGCGUGUUCGAUAUAUCUUCUAGUUCCAAGUCAGAGUCUAGUGACUCUACGAGUAGCUCGAGCGAUUCCUCGUUAGAAUACGAAAGAUAUUAUAAACGUCACGAUGAUGACGAUGAACAUGGACAUAAGAAGAUCGUUAUGAUUAAAAAGAAACCAAAGCAGAACUUACCUAACUUUAUUUUCCUACCGAAUUUAGAGACACCAUUCUAUCCUCCAGUGGGUUUACCUCCACCGCCAAUUCCUAUGUAUCCGAUGGUACCCGUGCCCCCUAUGGUACCAUUUUUUCAUAUUGAAGAAAUAGAAACAACAGCCGCACCUGAUAAAACCACAACAGUCUCUACGACGACUGAAG